CCUCAUGGAAGGCCGUUCGGAGGUCUCCUUAUAAUCCUAUGGCGGGCACUGAUUCAUCCAAGUAAGCGAAGUGCUUUCCAAGAAGCAACGACGUGAAACGUCGACUUAACGGAGCCAAAGGUUCUCCUUCAGCUAAGCGUACAGACUCCACUAGGUUUAUCCUCCUGCAGCGUGUAGCUCGCGGUUUCCUCAAGUCCUUUAAGGCAUUUUUAGGACCUGAUAGUGUAGACUUUCUUCUAGCUCUCUCAGAUCUCUUGAAAGACAUUGAGUCUGUGGUAGUUAGAGAAUUGGAGAGCCAACAGUUUAAACUCGUUAUUGUGGUGAAUGUAGAAGUUGAAAAAUUCGACCCCGCAACUGAACGAAUAGUCACUGAUUCUCCGCACUUCAGGAGCAGUCCGAUUACUGUGCUGGAACCUGGCGAGGUGCGCCGUUUGCUCCUCUCGUCAUUUGACGGGCUAGCGCGAAACCUUGAUGCGUGUUUGAGCAAUGGAUCAGGGUGGACAGUGAAACAGGUCCAUAGUGUUCAGCUGGACAUUGGCCGAUAUGAGGCCCUGACUGGAAGUUCCUACCUUGCUCUACCAUCGAAAAUUGCCAGAUCUAAGGCAGUUAUUGAUGUCCGAAACGAUGGUGACAAUCAAUGCCUGAAAUGGGCGAUCCUCUCGGCCUUGCACCCCCUGGAGAACAACCCGCAGCGUGUCGAAAGAUAUGCCGAACAUGCACAGAGUCUGGACUUGAUCAAAGUGCGUUUUCCUGCCGACAUUGGUGAUGACAGAAAGUAUGGAAAAUUCCAUUCUCCCGCUCACUGUGUGCAAAGCGCGCACGUCGAAGCUGCGUGCAAGCGGGCGUAGUCGUUCUACGGUGAUACGAGAUCUGUGCCCAAGCUGCCAGAGGACACGUGGCUUUUACACGGGACAAGCUGGUACGGCAGAGAUAGCAAUUGGGAAGUCCAUACAAGUAGCACUUGGAACCAUGGAGCUGAUCGUGUGUCUCAACGCACUUGUACAUAGCUGGUUGUGACGCAGCCAUGCGAACUUUUUUACUAAUAUUUUUUCUCAUAUACCGGUAUACAUGAUUGUAUUAUAAUAUUUAAACAAUCGACGAGGAGACAAUAGUCGUAAAAUGGCAAAAUAAGAUAAAUUGUGCACUCAUAACAACAGCAAAAAUGAAGAAAGUCAAGUUCCAUAACGUUUUCUUCUGAC